rnacentral:rRNA from 1 species
CCUACGGGUGGCUGCAGUGGGGAAUAUUGGACAAUGGGGGCAACCCUGAUCCAGCCAUGCCGCGUGUGUGAAGAAGGCCCUCGGGUUGUAAAGCACUUUCAGUGAGGAAGAACGCCUGGUGGUUAAUACCCAUCAGGAAAGACAUCACUCACAGAAGAAGCACCGGCUAACUCCGUGCCAGCAGCCGCGGUAAUACGGAGGGUGCGAGCGUUAAUCGGAAUUACUGGGCGUAAAGCGCGCGUAGGUGGCUUGAUAAGCCGGUUGUGAAAGCCCCGGGCUCAACCUGGGAACGGCAUCCGGAACUGUCAAGCUAGAGUGCAGGAGAGGAAGGUAGAAUUCCCGGUGUAGCGGUGAAAUGCGUAGAGAUCGGGAGGAAUACCAGUGGCGAAGGCGGCCUUUUGGACUGACACUGACACUGAGGUGCGAAAGCGUGGGUAGCAAACAGGAUUAGAUACCCGUGUAGUC